GUCCUGAUAGCUUAUAAAGCAUUGGCCUUGUAAGCCAAAGAAUGUGGGCCCCACCACUCAAGACU
rnacentral:tRNA from 1 species